rnacentral:rRNA from 2 species
UGGGGAAUAUUGCGCAAUGGGGGAAACCCUGACGCAGCAACGCCGCGUGAAGGAUGAAGGCCUUCGGGUUGUAAACUUUUUUGAUCGGGGACGAAUAAUGACGGUACCCGAAAAACAAGUCACGGCUAACUACGUGCCAGCAGCCGCGGUAAUACGUAGGUGGCAAGCGUUGUCCGGAUUUACUGGGUGUAAAGGGCGUGUAGGCGGGUCAGCAAGUCAGAUGUGAAAUCCCGGGGCUCAACUCCGGAACUGCAUCUGAAACUGUUGAUCUUGAGUACUGGAGAGGAAAGUGGAAUUCCUAGUGUAGCGGUGAAAUGCAUAGAGAUUAGGAGGAACACCAGUGGCGAAGGCGGCUUUCUGGACAGUAACUGACGCUGAGGCGCGAAAGCGUGGGGAGCAAACAGG